CAGCACGGAGCUUGCUCUGGUGGCGAGUGGCGAACGGGUGAGUAAUAUAUCGGAACGUACCCUGGAGUGGGGGAUAACGUAGCGAAAGUUACGCUAAUACCGCAUACGAUCUAAGGAUGAAAGUGGGGGAUCGCAAGACCUCAUGCUCGUGGAGCGGCCGAUAUCUGAUUAGCUAGUUGGUAGGGUAAAAGCCUACCAAGGCAUCGAUCAGUAGCUGGUCUGAGAGGACGACCAGCCACACUGGAACUGAGACACGGUCCAGACUCCUACGGGAGGCAGCAGUGGGGAAUUUUGGACAAUGGGCGAAAGCCUGAUCCAGCAAUGCCGCGUGAGUGAAGAAGGCCUUCGGGUUGUAAAGCUCUUUUGUCAGGGAAGAAACGGUGAGAGCUAAUAUCUCUUGCUAAUGACGGUACCUGAAGAAUAAGCACCGGCUAACUACGUGCCAGCAGCCGCGGUAAUACGUAGGGUGCAAGCGUUAAUCGGAAUUACUGGGCGUAAAGCG
rnacentral:rRNA from 1 species